CAGAGGGUGCGAGCGUUAAUCGGAAUGACUGGGCGUAAAGGGUGUGUAGGUGUUUAACAAGUUAGGUGUGAAAGUCCUGGGCUUAACCUGGGGAGGUCGCUUAAGACUGUUAAGCUAGAGUACUGUAGAGGAAGGUGGAAUUUCCGGUGUAGCAGUGAAAUGCGUAGAUAUCGGAAGGAACAUCAGUGGCGAAGGCGACUUUCUGGACAGAUACUGACACUGAGACACGAAAGCGUGGGGAGCAAACAGGAUUAGAUACCCUGGUAGUCCACGCUGUAAACGAUGAGGACUGGCUGUUGGGCGCCGUGAGGUGCUUAGUAGCGAAGCUAACGCGUUAAGUUCUCCGCCUGGGGAGUACGGCCGCAAGGCUA
rnacentral:rRNA from 1 species